rnacentral:rRNA from 1 species
AUGAUGCAUAACUGUAAAAAAAAAAAAAAUAUUGAGAAAUUGGUUAUGUCUCGCAAAGAGCGCAACCCUUGUCUUCUGUUGCCAUCAGGUCACGCUGGGCACUCUGAAGAGACUGCCGGUGACAAACCCGAGGAAGGUGGGGAGGAGGUCAAGUCAGCACGGCCUUUAUGUGUGGGGGUACACACGUGCUACAAUGGCCGGUACAAACCGUUGCAAACUCGCGAGGGUGAGAUAAUAUGAGAAAACCGGUCUCAGUUUGGGUUGUCGGUUGCAAAUUGCAUGCCUGAAGUUGGAAUCGCUUGUAAUCGCGGAUUCGCCUGCCGCGGUGAAUACGUUCCCGAGCCCUGUACACACCCCCCGUCACAUCACGAAAGAGGGGGGUACUCGAAGUGGCCACGCUAACCCGCAAGGGAGGCUAGCGCCGAAGGUAUAGUUAGUGAUUGGAGGUGAAGUCGUAACAAGUGUAGCCUGUAGUGAGAAGCUGCGGCUGGAUCACCUCCUAAUCUAGAUGCAUCGCGAGUCGC